GUGGCAGUAGGUCAGUGGUAGAGCCUCAGCUUCGCAUGCGGGGAGACCUGAGUUCGAUUCUCGGCUGCUUCC
rfam:Toxocara canis scaffold4, whole genome shotgun sequence.